AGAAUAGCUGAAUAGCGAAUCCCUGUGCAUCUGGAAAGAUGGAAGAUUGUCUUGAUAAAGCUUUUCCCUUAGUGCAAUUUCGACCCAGCUGUACUCAACCAACAUGAGGUUCCUUUAUAUUUGUCUGCUUGUCUUUUUCCUGUUCCACCAUGCUUACCUGGACAAAUCAGGUACAGGACGAUGUAGGAGACUAAAAGGAGUUUGCCGUCACACACUCUGCCAUCCUGUGGAAGUCUACGUCGGUAGGUGCAACAACGGAAUGGGAAACUGUUGUGUUGAUGAUGCGGAAGAUAUUCGGAAACUCAAACUGUAAAACCCCUGCUAAUAAUAGGUGGUGAAGAAAGGAAGAUAAGCAAUCAAAAGCAAUGCUUAUGAUUCUGUAUUUCAGUGGUCAAGGGAGAGAACAAAUCUAACACUUCAUGUUGUCACAAUAAACACUAGUCAUAAUUAUGAAUGCAUACUGUUAUAUAUUUG